CUGAACUUGAACUUAUUUUCCUCUUACCUCAGUCCCCUAAGUCUGGAUCACGGGUGUGAGCCACUCGACCUUGCUCUAAAGCUGUUUUUCCCAAUACAUGCUAGACAGGCACUCUAUACCAAUUCACGCUUUGUCCCUAUUCUGUUUGUUUGUUUGUUUGUUUGUUUGUUUGUUUGUUUGUUUGUGUUUAUUUCCUGAGACCGGGUCUUUAUGUCGCCCUGGCUGUCCUGGAACUCACUAUGUAGAUCAGACUGGCCUAGAACUCAGAGAUCUUCCUGCCUCUGCCUCCUCCUCUUCCUCCUCUGUCAAAGAAAGUCAGCCUAGAUUUCAUUUUCUAAGCCAUACAGUGGCCGGGUAUGGUGGCUCAGACCUGUAAUUCCAGCAAGUUUCUGCGAAAAGCAGAAAAAUUAAGAAUUACAGAGAAUCAGAAGCCAACCUGUAUCAAAUAGCAAGCCUACCAUUGCUUGAGUGUACUACAUUUUUCUUAAAGACUCCUCUGCUAAUAAACAAAGGUUGUGUUUUAGUAUGAGUAAGUAUGACUUUUGUUAAGAACAAAAUCACCACCAUCUGCAUUUUACUGACAGACAUACUAAAGUCCAGACAAGGGGAAAACAUCACCAGAGGUCACACACUGAAAACUGGAGCUUCCAGGUCCCCUUUCCUGUCUGUAUCCUUCAGUUUAUCGGUUCAAAUGUUAGUGUGUCCCAGCCGGCCCAGCUGUCUGCAGCAAGCCUCAGGCAAGCCAGCUGUCUCUCACCCUCAGCCUGCAGGAUUCUUGCAGGCAACCUAGAGACAUCUUUCAUCGCUGAAGCAUCGCGUUUUCAGACCUCCAGCCAGCAGGGGGCAGUGUAGCUACUGUCGCCGGUAGCAUCGACUUGCUCUCUUUGUGGUGUUCAUUUUUUC
rnacentral:lncRNA from 1 species